rnacentral:rRNA from 1 species
CCUACGGGUUGCACCAGUGGGGAAUUUUCCGCAAUGGGCGAAAGCCUGACGGAGCAAUGCCGCGUGGAGGUAGAAGGCCCACGGGCCGUGAACUUCUUUUCCCGGAGAAGAAGCCCCGGCUAACUUCGUGCCAGCAGCCGCGGUAAUACGAAGGGGGCUAGCGUUGUUCGGAAUUACUGGGCGUAAAGCGCGCGUAGGCGGAUAGAUAAGUCAGAGGUGAAAUCCCGGGGCUCAACCCCGGAAUUGCCUUUGAUACUGUUUAUCUUGAGUGCAGAAGAGGUAAGUGGAAUUCCGAGUGUAGAGGUGAAAUUCGUAGAUAUUCGGAGGAACACCAGUGGCGAAGGCGGCUUACUGGUCUGCAACUGACGCUGAGGCGCGAAAGCGUGGGGAGCAAACAGGAUUAGAUACCCUUGUAGUC